rnacentral:rRNA from 1 species
GAUGAACGCUGGCGGCGUGCCUAACACAUGCAAGUCGAACGAAGCUUGACGGAUGAUUUCUUCGGAAUGAAACCAGAUAUGACUUAGUGGCGGACGGGUGAGUAACACGUGAGCAACCUGCCUUUCAGGGGGGGAUAACGGCUGGAAACGGUCGCUCAUACCGCAUGAUGUGUUCGGAUGGCAUCAUCUGAACCUCAAAGAUUUAUCGCUGAAAGAUGGGCUCGCGUCUGAUUAGAUAGUUGGUGGGGUAACGGCCUACCAAGUCUACGAUCAGUAGCCGGACUGAGAGGUUGAACGGCCACAUUGGGACUGAGAUACGGCCCAGACUCCUACGGGAGGCAGCAGUGGAGAAUAUUGCACAAUGGGCGAAACCCUGAUGAAGCAACGCCGCGUGAAGGAUGACGGUUUUCGGAUUGUAAACUUCUUUUCUUAGUGACGAAGACAGUGACGGUAGCUAAGGAAUAAGCAUCGGCUAACUACGUG